rnacentral:rRNA from 1 species
UACGGAGGGGGCUAGCGUUGUUCGGAAUUACUGGGCGUAAAGCGCACGUAGGCGGCUUUGUAAGUUAGAGGUGAAAGCCCAGGGCUUAACCCUGGAAUUGCCUUUAAGACUGCAUCGCUAGAAUUGUGGAGAGGUAAGUGGAAUUCCGAGUGUAGAGGUGAAAUUCGUAGAUAUUCGCAAGAACACCAGUGGCGAAGGCGGCUCACUGGCCCGAUACUGACGCUGAGGAGCGAAAGCGUGGGGAGCGAACAGG